GACGAACGCUGGCGGCGUGCUUAACACAUGCAAGUCGAACGGAAAGGCCCUGCUUUUGUGGGGUGCUCGAGUGGCGAACGGGUGAGUAACACGUGAGUAACCUGCCCUUGACUUUGGGAUAACUUCAGGAAACUGGGGCUAAUACCGGAUAGGAGCUCCUGCUGCAUGGAGGGGGUUGGAAAGUUUCGGCGGUUGGGGAUGGACUCGCGGGUUAUGAGCUUGUUGGUUGGGUAGGGGCUUACCAAGUGUGUGACGGGUAGGCGGCCUGGGAGGGUGGCCGGCGUCCUGGGUACUGAGGGAGGCACCAGUGUGGAAGAGGGGGCAAUGGGGGGAAGCAUGGUACAGUGGGAGGGAGUGGGUGAAGAAAGCCUCGGGUGCGGAAUGCCGGCUUUCGGGUAAAGAACAGCUUUCGCUUGAGACGAAGCUGGUGUGACGGUAAUGGGUAAAGAAGCACCGGCUAACUACGUG
rnacentral:rRNA from 1 species